rnacentral:misc_RNA from 1 species
GCACCUACCGAUUGAAUGGUUCGGUGAGAAUCUCGGACUGCGGCUUGGAUGCCUUCGGGCAACCAAGCUGUGGAAAGUUGUUUAAACCUCAUCAUUUAGAGGAAGGUGAAGUCGUAACAAGGUUUCUGUAGGUGAACCUGCAGAAGGAUCAAGAUCUGAAGAGCGUCGGUGAGGGACAGAGUGUAGAUCUCGUUGGUCGCCAUAUAAUUAAAAAAAAACAAACAGUGAAGCAAUAUAAUAAUAUUCUGAACACACUUAUACACACAUCCUCGACUCU